ensembl:lncRNA
CAGACGUCCCCCCGGUGGUCCCCUACCCACCCCAACGUUCAAUCCAAAGCGGUCAAUCCAAAGCCUCUCAGCUCUGCGCCGUUGAGCAGCAGACCAGAAAGGGUUGGCUUCGAGCACCGACGCGGAAAGGGCCAGCCAUCCGUGCUCCACAAAAAGCGCAACCAAAGGAAGUUGUUGGAGAGCCUCCGACUCCUCGGGGAGGAGGUUAGCGGGGGCUGGGUUGAUCCUAAAGGAGUCAGCGUAGUACAGGAGGUCAUCACUGAUCAGACGCGUCACCUCAACUGGGAUAUCAUCAUCUGGCGGAACCCACGACGACUUGGUUAGGUUAGGUUAUGGAAAUCCCCACGAUCACGCAGGGGAGGUGCACGGUCCAUCCGGCCCUCAAACCUCCAGCGGUCCUGAUCCAAGGAUCUAUCCUCAUCAGGUCUACGGGGAUGAUGUCGGGGCCUCGGUGGCGAUGGUGAACGCCUGGAACCCGGUGGUGCGCGGGGAUGUCCGGCCCUCCGAGGAGGACCA